rnacentral:rRNA from 1 species
UACGGAGGAUGCGAGCGUUAUCCGGAUUUAUUGGGUUUAAAGGGUGCGUAGGCGGAAUAUCAAGUCAGCGGUAAAAAUUCGGGGCUCAACCCCGUCGUGCCGUUGAAACUGAUGUUCUUGAGUGGGCGAGAAGUGUGCGGAAUGCGUGGUGUAGCGGUGAAAUGCAUAGAUAUCACGCAGAACUCCGAUUGCGAAGGCAGCAUACCGGCGCCCAACUGACGCUGAAGCACGAAAGCGUGGGUAUCGAACAGG